UACGUAGGUGACAAGCGUUGUCCGGAUUUACUGGGCGUAAAGAGCGCGCAGGCGGUCGUUCAAGUCGAGUGUGAAAGCCCCCGGCUCAACUGGGGAGGGUCACUCGAUACUGAUCGACUUGAAGGCAGGAGAGGGAAGCGGAAUUCCCGGUGUAGUGGUGAAAUGCGUAGAUAUCGGGAGGAACACCAGUGGCGAAGGCGGCUUCCUGGCCUGCUCUUGACGCUGAGGCGCGAAAGCGUGGGGAGCAAACAGGG
rnacentral:rRNA from 1 species